GUCUUGUAAUUGGAAUGAUGGUGACCUAAACCCUCACCAGAGUAACAAUUGGAGGGCAAGUCUGGUGCCAGCAGCCGCGGUAAUUCCAGCUCCAAUAGCGUAUAUUAAACUUGUUGCAGUUAAAAAGCUCGUAGUUGAAUUUCUGCGUUAUCGAGUUAUUGACUCUUGUCUUUAAUCGAUUUCGCUUUUGGGAUUUAUCCCUUUUUACUUUGAGAAAAUUAGAGUGUUUCAAGCAGACUUUUGUCUUGAAUACUUCAGCAUGGAAUAAUAGAGUAGGACUUUGGUUCUAUUUUGUUGGUUUUUGAACCUUAGUAAUGGUUAAUAGGAACGGUUGGGGGCAUUCGUAUUUAACUGUCAGAGGUGAAAUUCUUAGAUUUGUUAAAGACGAACUACUGCGAAAGCAUUUGCCAAGGACGUUUCCAUUAAUCAAGAACGAAAGUUAGGGGAUCGAAGACGAUC
rnacentral:rRNA from 1 species